GCCGCGUGAGUGAUGAAGGCCCUAGGGUUGUAAAGCUCUUUCACCGGUGAAGAUAAUGACCGUAACCGGAGAAGAAGCCCCGGCUAACUUCGUGCCAGCAGCCGCGGUAAUACCAAGGGGGCUACCGUUGUUCGGAUUUACUGGGCGUAAAGCGCACGUAGGCGGGCUAAUAAUUCAGGGGUGAAAUCCCGGGGCUCAACCCCGGAACUGCCUUUGAUACUGUUAGUCUUGAGUAUGGUAGAAGUGAGUGGAAUUCCGAUGUAGAAGGUGAAAUUCGAAUUUAUUCUGAGGAACACCAAUGGCGAAAGCGGCUCACUGGACCAUUACUGACGCUGAGGUGCGAAAGCGUGGGGAACAAACAGGAUUAGAUACCCUGGUA
rnacentral:rRNA from 1 species